rnacentral:rRNA from 1 species
GACGAACGCUGGCGGCGUGCCUAAUACAUGCAAGUCGAACGCUGAAGGAGGAGCUUGCUUCUCUGGAUGAGUUGCGAACGGGUGAGUAACGCGUAGGUAACCUGCCUGGUAGCGGGGGAUAACUAUUGGAAACGAUAGCUAAUACCGCAUAAGAGUAGAUGUUGCAUGACAUUUGCUUAAAAGGUGCAAUUGCAUCACUACCAGAUGGACCUGCGUUGUAUUAGCUAGUUGGUGAGGUAACGGCUCACCAAGGCAACGAUACAUAGCCGACCUGAGAGGGUGAUCGGCCACACUGGGACUGAGACACGGCCCAGACUCCUACGGGAGGCAGCAGUAGGGAAUCUUCGGCAAUGGACGGAAGUCUGACCGAGCAACGCCGCGUGAGUGAAGAAGGUUGUCGGAUCGUAAAGCUCUGUUGUAAGAGAAGAACGAGUGUGAGAGUGGAAAGUUCACACUGUGACGGUAGCUUACCAGAAAGGGACGGCUAACUACGUG